CCCCAGUAACGGCGAGUGAAGCGGCAACAGCUCAAAUUUGAAAUCUGGCCCCUCCGGGUCCGAGUUGUAAUUUGUAGAGGAUGCUUUUGGUGAGGUGCCGCCCGAGUUCCCUGGAACGGGACGCCACAGAGGGUGAGAGCCCCGUCUGGCUGGCCACCGAGCCUCUGUAAAGCUCCUUCGACGAGUCGAGUAGUUUGGGAAUGCUGCUCAAAAUGGGAGGUAUAUGUCUUCUAAAGCUAAAUAUUGGCCAGAGACCGAUAGCGCACAAGUAGAGUGAUCGAAAGAUGAAAAGCACCUUGAAAAGAGGGUUAAACAGUACGUGAAAUUGUUGAAAGGGAAGCGCUUGUGACCAGACUUGGGCGCGGCGGAUCAUCCGGGGUUCUCUCCGGUGCACUUCGCCGCGUUCAGGCCAGCAUCAGUUCGUCGCGGGGGAAAAAGGCUUCGGGAACGUGGCUCCUCCGGGAGUGUUAUAGCCCGUUGCAUAAUACCCUGCGGUGGACUGAGGACCGCGCAUCUGCAAGGAUGCUGGCGUAAUGGUCACCAGCGACCCGUCUUGAAACACGGACCAAGGAGUCGUCUUCGUAUGCGAGUGUUCGGGUGUCAAACCCCUACGCGUAAUGAAAGUGAACGCAGGUGAGAGCUUCGGCGCAUCAUCGACCGAUCCUGAUGUUCUCGGAUGGAUUUGAGUAAGAGCAUACGGGGCCGGACCCGAAAGAAGGUGAACUAUGCCUGUAUAGGGUGAAGCCAGAGGAAACUCUGGUGGAGGCUCGCAGCGGUUCUGACGUGCAAAUCGAUCGUCAAAUAUGGGCAUGGGGGCGAAAGACUAAUCGAACCUUCUAGUAGCUGGUUUCCGCCGAAGUUUCCCUCAGGAUAGCAGUGUUGAGCUCAGUUUUAUGAGGUAAAGCGAAUGAUUAGGGACUCGGGGGCGCUAUAUUGCCUUCAUCCAUUCUCAAACUUUAAAUAUGUAAGAAGCCCUUGUUACUUAGUUGAACGUGGGCAUUCGAAUGUAUCAACACUAGUGGGCCAUUUUUGGUAAGCAGAACUGGCGAUGCGGGAUGAACCGAACGCGAGGUUAAGGU
rnacentral:rRNA from 1 species